GAUGAACGCUGGCGGCGUGCUUAACACAUGCAAGUCGAACGAAGCACCUCUCCCGAAGAUUGACACAGCUUGCUGUAGAUUGAUUCAUUUGAGGUGACUGAGUGGAGGACGGGUGAGUAACGCGUGGGUAACCUGCCUCAUAGAGGGGGACAACAGUUGGAAACGACUGCUAAUACCGCAUAGUAAGAAGAAUUCGCAUGUUUUCUUCUUGAAAGAUUUAUCGCUAUGAGAUGGACCCGCGUCUGAUUAGCUAGUUGGUAAGGUAACGGCUUACCAAGGCGACGAUCAGUAGCCGGCUUGAGAGAGUGAACGGCCACAUUGGGACUGAGACACGGCCCAAACUCCUACGGGAGGCAGCAGUGGGGAAUAUUGCACAAUGGGGGAAACCCUGAUGCAGCGACGCCGCGUGAGUGAAGAAGUAUUUCGGUAUGUAAAGCUCUAUCAGCAGGGAAGAUAAUGACGGUACCUGACUAAGAAGCCCCGGCUAACUACGUG
rnacentral:rRNA from 1 species